rnacentral:rRNA from 1 species
UUAAGUUAGAAAGGGCGCACGGUGGAUGCCUUGACACUAGGAGUCGAUGAAGGACGGGACUAACGCCGAUAUGCUUCGGGGAGCUGUAAGUAAGCUUUGAUCCGAAGAUUUCCGAAUGGGGAAACCCACCAUACGUAAUGGUAUGGUAUCCUUAUCUGAAUACAUAGGGUAAGGAAGACAGACCCAGGGAACUGAAACAUCUAAGUACCUGGAGGAAGAGAAAGCAAAUGCGAUUUCCUGAGUAGCGGCGAGCGAAACGGAACAUAGCCCAAACCAAGAGGCUUGCCUCUUGGGGUUGUAGGACAUUCUAUACGGAGUUACAAAGGAACGAGGUAGACGAAGCGACCUGGAAAGGUCCGUCGUAGAGGGUAACAACCCCGUAGUCGAAACUUCGUUCUCUCUUGAAUGUAUCCUGAGUACGGCGGAACACGUGAAAUUCCGUCGGAAUCUGGGAGGACCAUCUCCCAAGGCUAAAUACUCCCUAGUGAUCGAUAGUGAACCAGUACCGUGAGGGAAAGGUGAAAAGCACCCCGGAAGGGGAGUGAAAGAGAUCCUGAAACCGUGUGCCUACAAAUAGUCAGAGCCCGUUAACGGGUGAUGGCGUGCCUUUUGUAGAAUGAACCGGCGAGUUACGAUCCCGUGCGAGGUUAAGCUGAAGAGGCGGAGCCGCAGCGAAAGCGAGUCUGAAUAGGGCGUUUAGUACGUGGUCGUAGACCCGAAACCAGGUGAUCUACCCAUGUCCAGGGUGAAGUUCAGGUAACACUGAAUGGAGGCCCGAACCCACGCACGUUGAAAAGUGCGGGGAUGAGGUGUGGGUAGCGGAGAAAUUCCAAUCGAACCUGGAGAUAGCUGGUUCUCCCCGAAAUAGCUUUAGGGCUAGCCUUAAGUGUAAGAGUCUUGGAGGUAGAGCACUGAUUGGACUAGGGGUCCUCAUCGGAUUACCGAAUUCAGUCAAACUCCGAAUGCCAAUGACUUAUCCUUAGGAGUCAGACUGCGAGUGAUAAGAUCCGUAGUCAAAAGGGAAACAGCCCAGACCGCCAGCUAAGGUCCCAAAGUGUGUAUUAAGUGGAAAAGGAUGUGGAGUUGCUUAGACAACUAGGAUGUUGGCUUAGAAGCAGCCACCAUUUAAAGAGUGCGUAAUAGCUCACUAGUCGAGUGACUCUGCGCCGAAAAUGUACCGGGGCUAAAUACACCACCGAAGCUGCGGAUUGAUACCGAAUGGUAUCAGUGGUAGGGGAGCGUUCUAAGGACAGUGAAGUCAGACCGUAAGGACUGGUGGAGUGCUUAGAAGUGAGAAUGCCGGUAUGAGUAGCGAAAGACGGGUGAGAAUCCCGUCCACCGAAUGCCUAAGGUUUCCUGAGGAAGGCUCGUCCGCUCAGGGUUAGUCAGGACCUAAGCCGAGGCCGACAGGCGUAGGCGAUGGACAACAGGUUGAUAUUCCUGUACCACCUCUUUAUCGUUUGAGCAAUGGAGGGACGCAGAAGGAUAGAAGAAGCGUGCGAUUGGUUGUGCACGUCCAAGCAGUUAGGCUGAUAAGUAGGCAAAUCCGCUUAUCAUGAAGGCUGAGCUGUGAUGGGGAAGCUCCUUAUGGAGCGAAGUCUUUGAUUCCCCGCUGCCAAGAAAAGCUUCUAGCGAGAUAAAAGGUGCCUGUACCGCAAACCGACACAGGUAGGCGAGGAGAGAAUCCUAAGGUGUGCGAGAGAACUCUGGUUAAGGAACUCGGCAAAAUGACCCCGUAACUUCGGGAGAAGGGGUGCUUUCUUAACGGAAAGCCGCAGUGAAUAGGCCCAAGCGACUGUUUAGCAAAAACACAGCUCUCUGCGAAGCCGUAAGGCGAAGUAUAGGGGGUGACACCUGCCCGGUGCUGGAAGGUUAAGGAGAGGGGUUAGCGUAAGCGAAGCUCUGAACUGAAGCCCCAGUAAACGGCGGCCGUAACUAUAACGGUCCUAAGGUAGCGAAAUUCCUUGUCGGGUAAGUUCCGACCCGCACGAAAGGUGUAACGAUUUGGGCACUGUCUCAACCAGAGACUCGGUGAAAUUAUAGUACCUGUGAAGAUGCAGGUUACCCGCGACAGGACGGAAAGACCCCGUGGAGCUUUACUGUAGCCUGAUAUUGAAUUUUGGUACAGUUUGUACAGGAUAGGCGGGAGCCUUUGAAACCGGAGCGCUAGCUUCGGUGGAGGCGCUGGUGGGAUACCGCCCUGACUGUAUUGAAAUUCUAACCUACGGGUCUUAUCGACCCGGGAGACAGUGUCAGGUGGGCAGUUUGACUGGGGCGGUCGCCUCCUAAAGUGUAACGGAGGCGCCCAAAGGUUCCCUCAGAAUGGUUGGAAAUCAUUCGUAGAGUGCAAAGGCAUAAGGGAGCUUGACUGCGAGACCUACAAGUCGAGCAGGGACGAAAGUCGGGCUUAGUGAUCCGGUGGUUCCGCAUGGAAGGGCCAUCGCUCAACGGAUAAAAGCUACCCCGGGGAUAACAGGCUUAUCUCCCCCAAGAGUCCACAUCGACGGGGAGGUUUGGCACCUCGAUGUCGGCUCAUCGCAUCCUGGGGCUGUAGUCGGUCCCAAGGGUUGGGCUGUUCGCCCAUUAAAGCGGUACGCGAGCUGGGUUCAGAACGUCGUGAGACAGUUCGGUCCCUAUCCGUCGUGGGCGUAGGAAAUUUGAGAGGAGCUGUCCUUAGUACGAGAGGACCGGGAUGGACGCACCGCUGGUGUACCAGUUGUUCUGCCAAGGGCAUAGCUGGGUAGCUAUGUGCGGAAGGGAUAAGUGCUGAAAGCAUCUAAGCAUGAAGCCCCCCUCAAGAUGAGAUUUCCCAUAGCGUAAGCUAGUAAGAUCCCUGAAAGAUGAUCAGGUUGAUAGGUUCGAGGUGGAAGCAUGGUGACAUGUGGAGCUGACGAAUACUAAUAGAUCGAGGACUUAACCAU